AUUGAACGCUGGCGGCAUGCCUUACACAUGCAAGUCGAACGGUAACAGGCCGCAAGGUGCUGACGAGUGGCGAACGGGUGAGUAAUGCAGCGGAACGUGCCCAGUAGUGGGGGAUAGCCCGGCGAAAGCCGGAUUAAUACCGCAUACGACCUGAGGGGGAAAGGGGGGGAUCGCAAGACCUCUCGCUAUUGGAGCGGCCGAUGCCAGAUUAGCUAGUUGGUGGGGUAAAGGCUUAACAAGGCAACGAUCUGGAGUUGGUCUGAGAGGACGACCAGCCACACUGGGACUGAGACACGGCCCAGACUCCUACGGGAGGCAGCAGUGGGGAAUUUUGGACAAUGGGCGCAAGCCUGAUCCAGCAAUGCCGCGUGCAGGAAGAAGGCCUUCGGGUUGUAAACUGCUUUUGUCAGGGAAGAAAUCUUCUGGGUUAAUACCUCGGGAGGAUGACGGUACCUGAAGAAUAAGCACCGGCUAACUACGUGCCAGCCGCCGCUGUAAAAC
rnacentral:rRNA from 1 species